UCGUAGAACAAUUAAUUUGUAGGUUUCUCGGGGUGUUGAUUCUGAGAGACAUAGUUUAUUUCUAAUUUGGGAGUAAUCACUAGUGACUGAACAGUUCUACAAGCAGUUCUUCCCAAAAUCUCGGUCACAAAAUUCAAACCUGAAAAGCCAGCAGAACACUGAGGAAGGAACAAUAAAAGCUGGAAGCAGUCAGCAGUAAUCAAGUGUGGUUGACAUUUAAAUUCGCCAUCAAAUGCAAAGAACAUACAAGUGAUGCAGUGAGCAGUGCUGUGACCCAGGGUUGACGCUGACCUCCGAUCGCGCCUGUAUGGGCUUCCUCUGGCUGUUCCGUUUUCUUCCCACAUCCCAAAGAUGUGCUGCUUGGAAGGUUAAUUCGCCACUGCAUUCAUAGGAGAAAAAAGAGAUACAAUAGAACCAAGGAAGAACUAUACGUAAAUGAAGACUGACAAGCAACCGAUGUGCAGAAGAAGAGAGACUGUGCAAGUACAAAAACAAUCCAAAACUGAUCAAUUCAGGACAGAGACAGCACUGGCUGGAGUAACAUUCCCCCUACACAGUCUAGCAAACAGAACAUACUCAUGGAAAAUACAAAGCAAAGAGUGUAUUCAUCACAGAAGUCCAACAAGUUUCAAGUCUUCAACUGUUUCUGUAGACCUUGAUUUCGUCUGUGUAAACUUUUGCAUCAGUGUUAACGUCUAACGUGAUACAGGCACUGAGGUUCAAUAUCUGAAAUUCCAUAAUCUGAAAACCUCCAAAAUCCAAAAUAUUUUUGAGUGCUGACAUAUUGUCACAAGUGGAAAAUCCCUCAAGAUGCCGGGAAUGUACCUAGACGUUGCGCAGGAAUCUGCAAGUCACAAGCAGUUCCAAGAAGUGACCUCACAUAUCAUAAGUAAUGAACAGAAGUUAAAGAAAAAUAGAAAAACAAUGCAUAAAGUGAAAAAUGAAGAUCUUGAAUGUGCAUUGAAAGAAUUAAUUCAUCAGUGUCGGUGUGCUGAUCAUGAAGCAAGCACAGAUCUAUCACAACAAACUGAAAAUUGAAGGGAGUUGUGAAUAUUCAGCAGGCUGGCUGCAGAAAUUUAAGAAAGGGUGUGGCAUUAAAUUUUUAAAGCAUCUGCUGAUCAUGAAGAUCUAGCACCAGACCAAGUCUGCAAUGCAGAUUGUUUUAAUACCUUAAA